rnacentral:antisense_RNA from 1 species
AGCGCGAAGAAGGCGGCCAUGAGCCCGUUGCAGGCCCGCCACAGGGCCGGCGCCAUGGGUCGGACAGCGCGGCGCGGGGCGGUGAGGUGUGGUCAGCUAUUCCAGAAUGUGGCAGGGGUGGAGGCUGGACAAAGUCUGAAACAGGGUCAUCACCAUAGCACCUGACAUACCUGGAUAUAAACAAUAUCCAAGGCCCCUAAGGUAAAAGCCAUGCUCCAAGUCCCCUUCUGACUUCUAGUCACUUCCUUGCUGCCAGCAGAGGGCAUGGGAUUCUUCCUGAGGAGCCUGAGUCUCAGCUUUGCCAGGUCCUUGCUGUGUGACCUUGGGCACCUGUGCUCCCUUGACAAAGAGGAAUAAAACCUCUUCAUACUACUCUCCUUUUGAUUCUCUCCUGGAACAUAUGACCACCAUCAAUUAUAGGCAAGAACAUGAACACGGGAGUCCCAAAGACCUGGGUUCAAAUGUCAGGCCCUUCACUCGCUGGCUGUAGGUGUGAGGCCCUGGGCAAGGUCCUUACCUCCC